rnacentral:rRNA from 1 species
CUGACGCUCAUGCUCGAAGGCGCGGGUAUCGAACAGGAUUAGAUACCCUGGUAGUCCGCGCGGUAAACGAUGGAUGCCCGCUGUCGGGGUGAUUAGUUCCGGCGGCCAAGCGAAAGCAUUAAGCAUCCCACCUGGGGAGUACGCCGGCAACGGUGAAACUCAAAGGAAUUGACGGGGGCCCGCACAAGCGGAGGAACAUGUGGUUUAAUUCGAUGAUACGCGAGGAACCUUACCCGGGCUUGAACUGCAGCAGAACGAUCCAGAGAUGGUGAGGCCCUUCGGGGCUGCUGUGGAGGUGCUGCAUGGUUGUCGUCAGCUCGUGCCGUGAGGUGUCGGCUUAAGUGCCAUAACGAGCGCAACCCCUUUCGCCAGUUGCCAUCAGGUGAUGCUGGGCACUCCGGCGACACUGCCACCGCAAGGUGUGAGGAAGGUGGGGAUGACGUCAAAUCAGCACGGCCCUUACGUCCGGGGCUACACACGUGUUACAAUGGGUGGUACAGAGAGUCGGCCGCACGCAAGUUCGGUCCAAUCAAGAAAGCCAUCCUCAGUUCGGAUUGGGGUCUGCAACCCGACCCCAUGAAGCUGGAUUCGCUAGUAAUC